rnacentral:ncRNA from 1 species
AAAAAGACAAUGAUAGGGAAGAGUACAAUGUUUUAAACGUGCUUAGCGAUUCAGGGAUGGUGAGAGCCUGAAGACGUUCACAUUGGAAAAUCACCCUGGAGUUUUGCACUGAAAAGAGUAGGAUGCAACGAGUGAUUCCCGUUACGAAUGAAUGAGUGGAAAGUUGCUUAACUUUCUAACAGGGUGGUACCACGGGUUAACUUCUCGUCCCUUUU